rnacentral:rRNA from 1 species
GACGAACGCUGGCGGCGUGCUUAACACAUGCAAGUCGAACGAAGAGCGACGGAAGCUUGCUUCUAUCAAUCUUAGUGGCGAACGGGUGAGUAACGCGUAAUCAACCUGCCCUUCAGAGGGGGACAACAGUUGGAAACGACUGCUAAUACCGCAUACGAUCUAACCUCGGCAUCGAGGAUAGAUGAAAGGUGGCCUCUACAUGUAAGCUAUCACUGAAGGAGGGGAUUGCGUCUGAUUAGCUAGUUGGAGGGGUAACGGCCCACCAAGGCGAUGAUCAGUAGCCGGUCUGAGAGGAUGAACGGCCACAUUGGGACUGAGACACGGCCCAGACUCCUACGGGAGGCAGCAGUGGGGAAUCUUCCGCAAUGGACGAAGGUCUGACGGAGCAACGCCGCGUGAGUGAUGACGGCCUUCGGGUUGUAAAGCUCUGUUAAUCGGGACGAAAGGCCUUCUUGCGAAUAGUGAGAAGGAUUGACGGUACCGGAAUAGAAAGCCACGGCUAACUACGUG